rnacentral:rRNA from 1 species
GAUGAACGCUGGCGGCGUGCCUAAUACAUGCAAGUCGAGCGAACAGACGAGGAGCUUGCUCCUCUGACGUUAGCGGCGGACGGGUGAGUAACACGUGGAUAACCUACCUAUAAGACUGGGAUAACUUCGGGAAACCGGAGCUAAUACCGGAUAAUAUAUUGAACCGCAUGGUUCAAUAGUGAAAGACGGUUUUGCUGUCACUUAUAGAUGGAUCCGCGCCGCAUUAGCUAGUUGGUAAGGUAACGGCUUACCAAGGCGACGAUGCGUAGCCGACCUGAGAGGGUGAUCGGCCACUCUGGAACUGAGACACGGUCCAGACUCCUACGGGAGGUAGCAGUAGGGAAUCUUCCGCAAUGGGCGAAAGCCUGACGGAGCAACGCCGCGUGAGUGAUGAAGGUCUUCGGAUCGUAAAACUCUGUUAUUAGGGAAGAACAAAUGUGUAAGUAACUAUGCACGUCUUGACGGUACCUAAUCAGAAAGCCACGGCUAACUACGUG